GUGUCAGCAGCCGCGGUAAUACGUAGGGUGCGAGCGUUGUCCGGAAUUAUUGGGCGUAAAGAGCUCGUAGGCGGCUUGUCGCGUCGGAUGUGAAAGCCCGGGGCUUAACUCCGGGUCUGCAUUCGAUACGGGCAGGCUAGAGUUCGGUAGGGGAGAUCGGAAUUCCUGGUGUAGCGGUGAAAUGCGCAGAUAUCAGGAGGAACACCGGUGGCGAAGGCGGAUCUCUGGGCCGAUACUGACGCUGAGGAGCGAAAGCGUGGGGAGCGAACAGGAUUAGAAACCCGAGUAGUCC
rnacentral:rRNA from 1 species